GCUCUAAUGAGAAGAAGUGUCUUAAAAAAUGGAAGGCAGUCGGGAGGAGGCAAGAUCAGGUGGGAAGAUUCUAGACAAUGAGAGCGUGCGAACAGGCACAACUCUGAUAUAAAAUGUUUUUUCUCAAAGUUGCCGGGAUGUCACGUGUCCUAAUUAUAUCAGUACACUCGUAACAACCUAAGCAUUACGCGUUUUCUAUUCGAUCAAAUAAACCACACGUUGUAAAUACACUUUUGGGGGGUUAACCAAAUUCGACACUCUAAUGACCUCCAUAUAAAAACCGCCACCUGCUGGAGAAUAGAUUUUUCAUGGCUAGAAGGGGUACACAUUUUGAGGGGGUUGUUUAUCAUUGGCGUAGUUUGGAGUCGAACCGAUCAGAGGACUUGCGGAGCCUCGUAAAUGGCGUCCCUUGAGAAAGCAAGAAACAGAUGUAUGUCAGAAGAAGUGCAGUAUUAUCAUAAGGAGACGUAUACUUGGAUGAUGGAGGAGGAAUGGAGGGAAAAAGAGGCAGAGGAGGUCUAAGAGAGAGAGCGAGGAAGACUGUGAGCUUGAGUCGGUAAAAAAUGGCGGGGAGAAGGUUUGUUAAUGAAGGAUGGUAGAGGGAGACGAGCAGAGAGGACGCGAGGAAUCAAGGCAAUGCAUUGGCGAAGGUGCAUAAAGAUGGAGGAAUUCAGAUAUAAAGACAUUGUUUUUAGCUCUACCUACAGAGUUCUUAAACUACAGCGUGCAACAUGGUUGAAUGUGCCAGUAAAUCAGCACAAUGUACUUGUAUGUAAUUUUUUUGAAAUUGCUGCGGUCUUGGAUAUUUGGGAUCAUUUAUACUGUGCUAAUGCCGAUACAAAAAAAAUAGUAUGGAGAGCAAUGUACAAUACGGCAAACGGGGCAUUUGUGCUAUGCUGCGUUGGUGUGUUUGUAACACAGAGGCUACAGUGGACAUCAAGGAGGCCCUUCAGGUCUACCAGUAGUGGAAUCCUGCUUGGAAGCCAACACAUUUCAUGGUGGACUUCUCUGAGUCAGAUUGGUGCCCUGGAGUAUGUGUUCCAAGAGUCCAAAGUCUGGGUGGAAUGGAUACACAAGAAGGACAAUGGAGUCAGCUGCCAGGACGAAGUCCUCAGUCUUCUGCAGGCAAUCCCAUAGAGAAAGAGUUUCACAAGCGUGUCCUUGCCCUCAACCACACAACAGCUUGGGAGACCAAUGAGAAGCUCAGGAGGUGGUUCAGCAUCAAAUGGCUACCUCAAGCCAAGAAACUUCGAGCUGAAUGUGAAGUACUCCAGUUUUGGCCCUGGCAACAACAUGCCAACAUACACCUGCAAGGAUUGGCUUAGAAACCCUGUCAGCACUUCUGCGCAGUGUUCAAUAGGUUGGAGGGUUAGAAGCAACUCAACAAAACAUACAGGGACAACCCUCUGAUUUCCCUUGACAACGUGUGCCUGAGACGCACCCCUGCCAGAGGCCUCCCCUCCCACUUAAGACACCCCUGCCAGAGGCCUCCCCUCCCACUUAAGACACCCCUGCCAGAGGCCUCCCCUCCCACUUAAGACACCCCUGCCAGCCAUUUGAGCAAGACCAAGACCAAAAGAUGCCAGCAGUGUGGUAGCCUGCUGCGAGACAUCUCAGAGCUCACAUAUCACCUCCAGGACAAUGAGUACAUGGACACAGUAAUCUCACGCCUCACUGACCUGUUAGAUUACCUGUUAGUGAGGUUAUAUGGAUGGAUCUGGCAGCGGGACAAAGAGGAGAAGAGAGAUGAUGGGUAAGAAUAUUUUAUUUUGCCCUCCUCACCCAGACAUGCUAAAUAUAUUCCAUCUCACCCUCUUCCUCUCCUGUCUUAAGCACAAGAACCCAGAUGCUGGGAACAAGGUAAAACAAGGAGAAAAAAUAGAGGGGACUGGAAGGGAAAAGAGGAGCAGUGAGACAAGGAGGGGGAAUAAAUGGAAGAGGAGACAGAAGAGGGGACAGGAGGCAGUGGAGAAGAGGGUAGUGGAGAGGGUUCGACUUUAUAUUAGGAGAGCGAAGGUUCCACUGUUUUUUUGUAUUUUUUAUAAAGAGUUCCACAUGUUUUUGGUGUUUUUAAAGGAAAAUAAUAAUAAAAAUGAAAUCUAAGCAGCCAAUGACUGUUCUUUUUUUCUCUCUCAUGCCAUAUUACUGGCUGAUAACAAUUCAUGUUUGUAUUUACAUCAUGGAAUGUAGUGCUCAGUAGAAAGUAUAUUUAUUAGGGAGUUGUAGCGAGCUCCCCAAUGGUACUGCUAGCUAGCGAUUAUGUGGAAAUCAAGUCCUGUCUGCUGUAGAACACGCAAACUCUCGUAAUAAACGGGACUAUGACAACUUUUACAAAAUCUGUAUCACUUCUAGACAUGACCAGAUUUUGGCCCGCUUCGCCUCUAACUCUGUCAACGCAUACUGUCAGCCAGGCCAUAAACACGUCUGCCUCUGGUUGUGCUUUAUCUAUGCAAUCAGUCAAACCACCGUUAAUCCAUUGAUAAAUACAUGUUUUCAGUACACUGAUUGACCUUACUCUUGCUUUUCGCAUCCGAUGAAGCAAUUUAUACACCAAGAAUAAACCAACUGUCACACCCUGGC